AGGCGCUGCUGCAGACCGCGCUGCUGUUUCCGCUCCUCACAGCUGCUCGCUGUUGCUGGCGGCUCUGAGCUUAGCGGAGGCUGCUGGCUAAAAUAGCGCUAGAUGUGUUUUACUACACAGCGUAUCGCUUAAGCGCUACAGAUUCCUCAUAUUCUGACGGCCACAUUUCCCCUGGAUAUGGGUGACAAGGCAGGCACCCGGGUAUUCAAGAAAUCCAGUCCAAAUUGCAAGAUCACAGUAUACCUGGGGAAAAGAGAUUUUGUGGAUCAUUUAGAUCAGGUGGACCCUGUUGAUGGGGUCAUCUUAGUAGAUCCUGAAUAUCUCAAAGAUAGAAAAGUGUUUGUGACACUAACCUGUGCCUUCCGUUAUGGCCGUGAGGACCUGGAUGUUCUUGGGCUUUCUUUUCGGAAAGAUCUUUACAUAUCAACGUUUCAAGCUUUUCCACCCAUACCAGAAGAGCGCAAGCCCAACAGUCGCCUUCAGGAAAGACUUUUGAAGAAAUUGGGCCAGCAUGCUCAUCCUUUUCAUUUUACAAUCCCUCAAAACUUGCCAUGUUCAGUUACCUUGCAGCCUGGUCCUGAGGACACUGGAAAGGCCUGUGGGGUAGAUUAUGAGAUCAGAGCUUUCUGUGCCAGGUCAGUUGAGGAGAAGAUUCACAAAAGAAAUUCUGUUCGAUUAGUGAUUCGGAAAGUCCAGUAUGCUCCUGAGAAACCUGGUCCCCAGCCUAUGGUUGAGACAACACGAAGCUUUUUAAUGUCUGAUCGCUCUCUGCAUCUAGAGGCCUCCUUAGAUAAAGAGCUGUAUUACCAUGGGGAACCCAUCAGUGUGAAUGUCCAUGUGACCAACAAUUCAACCAAGACUGUCAAAAGAGUCAAAAUAUCAGUGCGGCAGUAUGCUGAUAUCUGUCUGUUCAGCACAGCGCAGUACAAAUGUCCGGUGGCUCAACUUGAGGCAGAUGACCAGGUAUCGUCCAGCUCCACAUUCUGUAAGGUGUACACCCUCACGCCCACCCUGAACAAUAACAGGGAGAAAAGAGGGCUCGCACUGGAUGGCAAACUCAAACAUGAAGACACCAACCUGGCCUCCAGCACCAUUGUUAAGGAUGGAUGUAACAAGGAGGUUCUCGGAGUUCUGGUGUCGUAUCGAGUCAAAGUCAAACUGGUCGUCUCCCGCGGAGGGGACUGGAUGACUAUUAUUUGAGCUAUUACAAUUCAUGCGUCAAAGGACUUCAGCAAGUACACUUUACAUAAAUCCAUUUUUGAUUAGUUAUAUGAUUCAUAGCUUUGAUCUUGUAUUGUUUUACUGUUGGAACAUUUAGCUUGGUCUGGAAGUUGGCCAGUACUGGCCACAGGGCUACUAUUAUUACUGCUUCCUGGCACUGUCUUGCAUGAUAUGAAUUUGACGCAAAAGAAUGCUCAUGGAGUGUUAAGAUACACAUAUUAGUAUUGAUAGUUUUACAUGGGGGUCGUGAGACUAUGUGUGCCAUCAAUUGAACGUAUGUAUGUAUGUAUGUAUGUAUGUAUUUAUUUAUUUUUUAGACAAAAAAAAAUGAAUAGUCCCCACUGUUCUAUUUAAAACACUUCAUGAAAUUCCUGUAAGAGAAAACUACAAAAGAAAAGCUUUCCUGUGCUGUUGCAUUUUAAAUUUAUUUAUCUUCUUAGAAAAUUAUUUCUUUGUCGUGCUCCCCGGACAAAAAACAGUGGCAUACGUCCUUUCUUCUCUCAUAAUUGAGUAUCCAGUUGCCUUAAAAGGCCUGCAGCUUAUAUUUUUCUUUAUAUAUUUCACCCUGAGGUCUACUUAUGAUAUUUGUAUGGUUUUGUAUAUCAGAAACCGUCGUCUAAAUUUUUUUUUCUUAACAAUUAAUUUUGGGACUUAUACAGACUGUUUUUGUUACUAUGUCUUUAAGUGCCAUAAAUGUGCUCUAGAAAUAAAAUUGGCAUUGACAUUGACAUAUGUCUUUAAGACUGAUACAUGUUAAUGACCUCUGUUCUGAUUGGCUGCCCUGCUUCAUUCAAAAAGAGUCCAGGCUGGAACACUCCUUAUAACUUUAGCAUGGAUGAGUGGGGCCAAACUGCUGUAGACAGAAUAAGUGGAUAUAUGGACGUAUUGGAUCUUGUGACAUCACAAAAACAAGUCAUUCAAAAUAGCUGCUUUUGAAGCUUGUACUGUAUAGACUGGGGAGUACAUUUUUACAUUUUUAGACACACCUACUUUGUUGGUCUACUUUGUAGGUUUAGUCAGAGACAAAAUUUCAUCUGUUGCUGUGUUUAGUCAUCUUCUAGUUCAGGGGUGUACAACUCUGGUACUGUUGGGCCGUAUUCAGUACAGUUGGGUGAUUUACCCGCUCAGACACAAUAGUUAAUGGACUAUUAGUCCAGCAGUGAUGCUAGGGUAUUUAAAAACUCCAGCAUUGAUGCUGUGUCUGAUCCACUCGUAACAGCACAGUGCACACUAACACGCCACCACCACGGCAGUAUCACUGCAGUGCUGAGAAUGACCCACUUCCAAAUAAUACAAACUCUGUGGUGGUCCGGUGGGGGUCCUGACAUUACAUUGAAGAACAAUGUAAAAGCAGCCUAACAAGGUUUGCAGAGAAACGGGGACUACAGUCUGUAAUUGUGGAACUACAAAGUGCUCCUGUAUGGUGAGUGGAGCUAAUACAAUGGACGUGAGUGUAGAUACAAGGAGUCGUACUUGACAAAGUAUUGGCUGGUCGGUGUUUACGUUUAUUAAAGAUUAAAUUUCCACUAGUGAGAAAGCGGCUGAUGCUCUCCCCUAACCUCCAUGUCUUUCUGCAGCACCCUGUAGAUACAUUGUUUCAUUUGAGUUUUCACAUCGUUCUGUUCUCUGUUGGUGUUUCAUAUUUUUCUCUGUGUUCCCCCACAUCUGUCUGUUAACCCCCCCUGUGUUGCAUCAGGCUUUUAAGCAGCUUGCUGGAGAGAGACGUCUCAGUUGAGCUGCCCUUCGUCUUAAUGCAUCCCAAACCUAUAGACCUCUCCAGCUCUCGACCAGCCUCAG